GACGAACGCUGGCGGCGUGCUUAACACAUGCAAGUCGAACGGAAAGGCCCUGCUUUUGUGGGGUGCUCGAGUGGCGAACGGGUGAGUAACACGUGAGUAACCUGCCCUUGACUUUGGGAUAACUUCAGGAAACUGGGGCUAAUACCGGAUAGGAGCUCCUGCUGCAUGGUGGGGGUUGGAAAGUUUCGGCGGUUGGGGAUGGACUCGCGGCUUAUCAGCUUGUUGGUGGGGUAGUGGCUUACCAAGGCUUUGACGGGUAGCCGGCCUGAGAGGGUGACCGGCCACAUUGGGACUGAGACACGGCCCAGACUCCUACGGGAGGCAGCAGUGGGGAAUAUUGCACAAUGGGCGGAAGCCUGAUGCAGCAACGCCGCGUGCGGGAUGACGGCCUUCGGGUUGUAAACCUCUUUCAGUUGGGAAGAAGCGAAAGUGACGGUAAUUGGAAAAGAAGCACCGGCUAACUACGUG
rnacentral:rRNA from 1 species